GACGAACGCUGGCGGCGUGCCUAAUACAUGCAAGUUGAGCGCUGAAGGUUUGUACUUGUCCCAACUGGAUGAGCAGCGAACGGGUGAGUAACGCGUGGGGAAUCUGCCUUUGAGCGGGGGACAACAUUUGGAAACGAAUGCUAAUACCGCAUAAAAACUUUAAACACAAGUUUUAAGUUUGAAAGAUGCAAUUGCAUCACUCAAAGAUGAUCCCGCGUUGUAUUAGCUAGUUGGUGAGGUAAAGGCUCACCAAGGCGAUGAUACAUAGCCGACCUGAGAGGGUGAUCGGCCACAUUGGGACUGAGACACGGCCCAAACUCCUACGGGAGGCAGCAGUAGGGAAUCUUCGGCAAUGGACGAAAGUCUGACCGAGCAACGCCGCGUGAGUGAAGAAGGUUUUCGGAUCGUAAAACUCUGUUGGUAGAGAAGAACGUUGGUGAGAGUGGAAAGCUCAUCAAGUGACGGUAACUACCCAGAAAGGGACGGCUAACUACGUG
rnacentral:rRNA from 1 species